UAAAACUCAGUAUAGUGUGAAACUAUUGUCAAAAUAGGACGUAACCCAAGUGGUGGAUCUUUUGUAAAAUACUUUUACAGGCAAAAAUUUAGUAAAAAAUAGCGAAAUACAAAGUAUCCCAAGAUAUAUUCGGCAGCUUGCUCAUUCCCAUCAUUCGCAGUAGAGAUGCAAAAUCGGACCAGAACCGGGUCCGGAAUCGCAGAAGUUCGAGCACCGGAGAGGAUAGCGGGCCAUGCUGAUAGAUAUGAUGAGAACAGGCAACAUACUGACAAGGUCUUCAAUUAGAAGUCACUUAACAGGCCACCAGCCUUUGUCAAUCUUUCCAUAUUUCCAGCCUUAAUGCACAUAUCCAAAGAAGGCGCCAAGCGAUUGGCACCGCCCAGAGAUACCGUAAAAAGAAAAUACAUUGUCGAUUUAUUCAA